CAAUAGCGUAUAUUAAAGUUGUUGCGGUUAAAAAGCUCGUAGUUGGAUUUCUGCUGAGGACGACCGGUCCGCCCUCUGGGUGAGCAUCUGGCUCGGCCUUGGCAUCUUCUUGGGGAACGUAGCUGCACUUGACUGUGUGGUGCGGUAUCCAGGACUUUUACUUUGAGGAAAUUAGAGUGUUUCAAGCAGGCGUACGCCUUGAAUACAUUAGCAUGGAAUAAUAAGAUAGGACCUCGGUUCUAUUUUGUUGGUUUCUAGAGCUGAGGUAAUGAUUAAUAGGGAUAGUUGGGGGCAUUCGUACUUAACUGUCAGAGGUGAAAUUCUUGGAUUUGUUAAAGACGAACUACUGCGAAAGCAUUUGCCAAGGAUGUUUNCAUUGA
rnacentral:rRNA from 1 species